GGACCUUUAGCUCAGCGGUAGAGCAAUCGACUGCAGAUCGAUAGGUCCCCGGUUCAAUCCCGGGAGGGUCCU